CUGCUGCCUUCCGUAGGAGUUUGGGCCGUGUCUCAGUCCCAAUGUGGCCGGUCACCCUCUCAGGUCGGCUACUGAUCGUCGCCUUGGUGGGCCGUUACCCCGCCAACCAGCUAAUCAGACGCGGGUCCAUCUCAUACCACUGGAGUUUUUCACACCAGGACAUGCAUCCCUGUGCGCUUAUGCGGUAUUAGCAGUCAUUUCUAACUGUUAUCCCCCUGUAUGAGGCAGGUUACCCACGCGUUACUCACCCCG
rnacentral:rRNA from 1 species